CGUUUAGGGGUAAACCUGAGAAACCCGAAAGGUCGAAGGGAGAAAUUCAUUCGCGUUUCGCGACGGGCUUCGGACGGUCGAGUGACGGCGGACGUUCGCGUCCGACGCGCAUUCCGUUCGAUGGAUCCGUUACGAACGCGUGCACUUUUCUCCUGGUAGGACGUCGCGAUCCGUCGGGUGUCGGUCUACGGUUUCGGGUGGAGCCCGUCGAAUUUCCUCGCGGUCGAUCGACGGACCCCGUAUACCCGACCGACUCGCUCGACGGUAUACGAACGGUUCGAGGCCGCUCAUUCGGAGCGUUCGACUCGCGACAAGCGCGCCAGUUGCGUCGGCGAUCGGACCUAGUGCCGAUUCUGACCUCUGGCGACUGUUGGUCGCGAUGUUCUCGGACAGACCUCGCGAGACCGAUCGGCGACGCUAUAGCUUUGGGUACUUUCAGGACCCGUCUUGAAACACGGACCAAGGAGUCUAGCAUGUGCGCGAGUCAUUGGGAAUCACUAAACCUAAAGGCGUAAUGAAAGUAAAGGUCUUCCUCGCGAGGACCGAGGGAAGACGGGCGGUUCGUCCUUAAAAGCGGCCGCUCCGCAUUCCCGGGGCGUCUCGUUCUCAUCGCGAGAAGAGGCGCACCAAGAGCGUACACGCUGGGACCCGAAAGAUGGUGAACUAUGCCUGGUCAGGACGAAGUCAGGGGAAACCCUGAUGGAGGUCCGUAGCGAUUCUGACGUGCAAAUCGAUCGUCGGAACUGGGUAUAGGGGCGAAAGACUAAUCGAACCAUC
rnacentral:rRNA from 1 species